GUAGGUGGCAAGCGUUGUCGGAAUUAUUGGGGCGUAAAGCGCGCGCAGGCGGUUCUUUAAGUCUGAUGUGAAAGCCCACGGGCUCAACCGGUGGAGGGUCAUUGGAAACUGGAGAACUUGAGUACAGAAGAGGAAAGCGGAAUUCCACGUGUAGCGGUGAAAUGCGUAGAGAUGUGGAGGAACACCAGUGGCGAAGGCGGCUUUCUGGUCUGUAACUGACGCUGAGGCGCGAAAGCGUGGGGAGCAAACAGGAUUAGAUACCCUGGUAGUCCACGCCGUAAACGAUGAGUGCUAAGUGUUAGGGGGUUUCCGCCCCUUAGUGCUGCAGCUAACGCAUUAAGCACUCCGCCUGGGGAGUACGGCCGCAAAGGCUGA
rnacentral:rRNA from 1 species